GCUUUAACAUGCAGUCGAACGGCAGCACGGACUUCGGUCUGGUGGCGAGUGGCGAACGGGUGAGUAAUGCGCCGGAACGUAUCCAGUAGAGGGGGAUAACGCAGCGAAAGCUGUGCUAAUACCGCAUACGCCCUGAGGGGGAAAGCAUGGGAUCUUCGGACCAUGCGUUAUUGGAGCGGCCGACGUCUGAUUAGCUAGUAGGUGAGGUAAAGGCUCACCUAGGCGAUGAUCAGUAGCUGGUCUGAGAGGAUGAUCAGCCACACUGGAACUGAGAGACGGUCCAGACUCCUACGGGAGGCAGCAGUGGGGAAUUUUGGACAAUGGGCGCAAGCCUGAUCCAGCCAUUCCGCGUGAGUGAAGAAGGCCUUCGGGUUGUAAAGCUCUUUCGGCAGGGAAGAAAAGGUUCUGGUUAAUAGCUGGAACUGCUGACGGUACCUGAAGAAGAAGCACCGGCUAACUACGUGCCAGCAGCCGCGGUAAUACGUAGGGUGCGAGCGUUAAUCGGAAUUACUGGGCGUAAAGGGUGCGCAGGCGGCUCUGUAAGUCUGACGUGAAAUCCCCGGGCUUAACCUGGGAACUGCGUUGGAAACUGUAGAGCUAGAGUGUAGCAGAGGGGGGUAGAAUUCCACGUGUAGCAGUGAAAUGCGUAGAGAUGUGGAGGAAUACCGAUGGCGAAGGCAGCCCCCUGGGUUAACACUGACGCUCAGGCACGAAAGCGUGGGUAGCAAACAGGAUUAGAUACCCUGGUAGUCCACGCCCUAAACGAUGUCAACUAGUUGUUGGGGAGGGAGACCUCCUUGGUAACGCAGCUCACGCGUGAAGUUGACCGCCUGGGGAGUACGGUCGCAAGAUUAAAACUCAAAGGAAUUGACGGGGCCCGCACAAGCGGUGGAUUAUGUGGAUUAAUUCGAUGCAACGCGAAAACCUUACCUACCCUUGACAUGUACGA
rnacentral:rRNA from 1 species